UGACAAAGUUCAACGGCCGCGGUACCCUAACCGUGCGAAGGUAGCAUAAUCACUUGUUCUUUAAAUGAGGACUCGUAUCAACGGCACUACGAGGGCUAUACUGUCUCCUUUUUCUAAUCAGUGAAACUGAUCUCCCCGUGAAGAAGCGGGGAUCAAAAUAUAAGACGAGAAGACCCCAUGGAGCUUUAAACUCACUAUACACCUCUGUGCCUUUAUGUCACUAGACACAAGAGAUCUGCGUACUAGUUUUAGGUUGGGGGGACCACGGAGUAUAAUUUAACCUCCAUAACAAAUGGGCUAACACCCUUAUCUACGAGACACAACUCUAAGAAUUACUAAACUAAUGCUUAUGACCCGAUAUUCGAUCAAUGAACCAAGUUACCCUGGGGAUAACAGCGCAAUCUACUUCAAGAGCCCAUAUCGACAAGUGGGUUUACGACCUCGAUGUUGGAUCAGGGUAUCCCGGUGGUGCAGCCGCUACCGACGGUUCGUUUGUUCAACGAUUAAAACCCUACGUGAUCUGAG
rnacentral:rRNA from 1 species